rnacentral:rRNA from 1 species
CACGUAGGGGGCGAGCGUUGUCCGGAAUUACUGGGCGUAAAGGGCGCGCAGGCUGUUAUGCGAGUCUGCUGUGAAAUGUACCGACUCAACCGGUGCCUUGCGGCGGAUACUGCAUAGCUGGAGUACUGGAGAGGGAAGUGGAAUUCCCGGUGUAGCGGUGAAAUGCGUGGAUAUCGGGAGGAGCACCGGUGGCGAAGGCGGCUUUCUGGCCAGUUACUGACGCUCAUGCGCGAAAGCUGGGGUAGCGAACCGGAUUAGAUACCCCU